rnacentral:rRNA from 1 species
GUGCCUAAUACAUGCAAGUCGAACGGUCUUUCUAUGGAAGCUUGCUUCCACUGGGAAGAUAGUGGCGAACGGGUGAGUAACACGUGGGUAACCUGCCCAUAAGAGGGGGGAUAACAUCCGGAAACGGGUGCUAAUACCGCAUAGUUUUCUUGAUCGCAUGAUUGAGAAAGGAAAGACGGCCUUUGUGCUGUCGCUUAUGGAUGGACCCGCGGCGUAUUAGUUAGUUGGUGAGGUAACGGCUCACCAAGACGAUGAUACGUAGCCGACCUGAGAGGGUGAUCGGCCACAUUGGGACUGAGACACGGCCCAAACUCCUACGGGAGGCAGCAGUAGGGAAUCUUCCGCAAUGGACGAAAGUCUGACGGAGCAAUGCCGCGUGAGUGAAAGAAGGUUUUCGGAUCGUAAAACUCUGUUGUCAGAGAAGAACAAGUUGGAGAGUAACUGCUCCAGCCUUGACGGUAUCUGACCAGAAAGCCACGGCUAACUACGUGCCAGCCGCCGC